UAUGGGGCCACUGUAUGUGUGUGUGGGGCAGUGUGUGUAUGGUGGCACUGUCUGUAUGUUUGUGUCGGGGGGCAAUGUGUGUAUGGGGGCAGUGUACGUGUAUAUGGAGGGCAAUGUGUGUGUGCCCCCAUACACACUGCCCCACACACACAUACAGUGCUCCCCAUACACACACUGCCCCCUCAUACACAUACUGCCUCCCAUACACACACUGCCCCCAUACACACAUUGUCCCCAUACACACAUUGCCCCCCAUACACACGUACACUGCCCCCAUACACACAUUGCCCCUGCACACAAACACACAUACAGUGCCCCCAUACACACACUGCCCCACACACACAUACAGUGCCCCCAUACACACACUG